UACGUAGGGACCAAGCGUUGUUCGGAUUUACUGGGCGUAAAGGGCGUGUAGGCGGCGUGGCAAGUCACUUGUGAAAUCUCUGAGCUUAACUCAGAACGGCCAAGUGAUACUGCUGUGCUAGAGUGCAGAAGGGGCAAUCGGAAUUCUUGGUGUAGCGGUGAAAUGCGUAGAUAUCAAGAGGAACGCCUGAGGUGAAGACGGGUUGCUGGGCUGACACUGACGCUGAGGCGCGAAAGCCAGGGGAGCAAACGGG
rnacentral:rRNA from 1 species